rnacentral:lncRNA from 1 species
AAAAAACAAAAAAGUUAUACGUGCUUUACCCAAUUACAAAGAAACUUUGUGGUUUGAAACCACUGAGAUCUUAAGCUGAAAGUUUCAAACUCAGAAGUACUGUUAAAUUGACUAAAAAUCCAAUGUUACGCAUGAUACUGUACAUCUGUAAUUAAAACGUUAGUGACAGGGUGUGUGUGUGUGUGUCAGGAAGCUAUAUAGGGUGUGUGAGCUAUAGGUCAGCCUAAACUAUAUAGUGAGACCUUGUCUUAAAAAGAAAACCCUGACACCUGGAAUUUUUCUUGGAAAUUCUUAUUUUGCAGAUCAGAACUGGAAUCCAAUCAUCUUAUCCCCACAUGAUACCAGUGACUUUGGUGCACAAUUCUAAGUCUAGGGAUCACACCUUUAAGCAUUCCUGGUCUAGGUUGUAAAGAACACAAGACUGUCUUUGAAAAUGUUUUCUCAAAACAUAAAGCGUAUGAAACUAAGGCAUUACGUUAUUGUAUCUGAAGGACAGUAUGAACGUGUUCACAUGCAAUGUUGUCCAAAACACUUCUGUGACAAAAACCUUCCCCUUUCUGUGCUGUCCAAUAUGGACUCUACCAUCAGGUGCAUAGCUGAAGUGUGGUGAAUGCAACUGAAGGUGUGCAAUUUUCAUUAACUGAGAUGGUCACAUAACUAGUCGAUACUGAUGCUUCAUGAGUCAAACCAUGGGUUUAUUUGGGAGGGUGACCUCUCUAAUUACUGCUAAGAAGUUAAGGAUUGGGUACAGACAUAAGAAAGCUCAGGUACAUCUGAAAGUCUUCGUUGGCUUUGGAGAUGAGGUUGUCACAACCUACAGAGGAAGGAACUCCUGAGGAGAAUUCAGUGUGAUCGUCCCAGCCCCUAGCUAAUGACAGUGGAAACAAAGGCCUAAGGCUUUGGUCUCUCAGGAGAAUGCCGCUGCCACAGGGCCAUCUGUGUCUGGAUAUUACUGAGGUGAUAGAAUGCUUAUUUUCGGACAGGAUUUCCAGAGCCUGUGGUAGGCUUAGAGGUAGGAGGAGGUAAGGGCCCAGGCCCUUUCUGACCACUGGCAGGUGGUACAGGCCCUUUCUUUUUUGGGAUUAAAAUCUUGUUCUUGCUCUUGAACACUUUGCUGGGGUCUAGCUUGUUCACAAAGUUGUCGGACUCUUCUGUGAGCAGGCUUGUGUUGUAGGUGAUGGGUUUGUACAUACUGAACCAUUGCUGUAAGGCACAAAUAGAGUCUCAGUUGGAAGGAGAAAUGGGGGAGAGCAGGCGACAGUACAGACAUUACAAAUUAACUAUCACUAACCUACAUUUUUUUUCAGUGUCAACUGGUAAAGUACAUGCGAUUAUUUCAAAAUUGAAAAUGCUGUAAAAUAUAAAACAUUUUUGGUCCAGUACAUUUCAGUGAUGUAAUAUUGAACUUAUACACAUUUUUAUGAAAAACUGCCUUGAAAAUUUAUGAGCACUGGAACAGUAAGUGGUGAGGGAUGCCAUCAACCCUUGGUCAAGCACAUAAGGUGCUUUUUAAGGCCUUUAAAAUAAAGGUACUAUGAGAACUAAGGAGCCAAGUAUACUUAUUGGUGCCUUAGAACUAGUGAGCCUGCCAAGGACACUGUCCUGCUUGCCAUCAAUGCACACGGUGCCCAGUAUGGGUAUUGCAACAGAGGUCCGUGCAGAACUUUCCUAUGGGAAGCGGUGUGCUGGUACUCUAUACCUGCAGUGAUUUGGUUUUGUUUUUGUUUUUGUUUUUUUAAUAAUUAUAGCUAUUGGGGAAAGGGGCUGCCACAUAUUUUGCCAUGAUUUGAUCAAAACCAGUUCACACCACAUUACAUGGAAGCUGUAAUUAUGAAAAUCUGUGAGAACAAUGAGGCCAGCUAGUAUAGAUACAGUGGGAGUUUUUGAUGACUAAGUGCUAUAAGAAAUCACUGUGAUUUUUCUUUAAACCACACCAGUUCGCUCUGGUCUAAAGUUCUGGCCAGCGCUUGGCAUUUUCAAGGCACGUUCUAUAAAUCUCUGAAAUGAUGCCCAAAUCUGUAACAUAUAGAAGACAGCUCUAUGGGUACUCCGCAAUGGAGCACUAAGGCAAAACCAAGAGUGCAGAAUUGCUAUAUCUGUGUUAGUAAAAAUAUAAAAAGAAACAUGC